UACGGGAGGCAGCAGUGGGGAAUAUUGCACAAUGGGCGAAAGCCUGAUGCAGCUAUGCCGCGUGUAUGAAGAAGGCCUUAGGGUUGUAAAGUACUUUCAGCAGGGAGGAAGAAAUAAAACUAAUAAUUUUAUUUUGUGACGUUACCUGAAGAAGAAGCACCGGCUAACUCCGUGCCAGCAGCCGCGGUAAUACGGAGGGUGCAAGCGUUAAUCAGAAUUACUGGGCGUAAAGAGCGCGUAGGUGGUUUUUUUAAGUCAGAUGUGAAAUCCCCUAGGCUUAACCUAGGAACUGCAUUUUGAAACUGAAAAACUAGAGUAUCGUAGAGGGAGGUAGAAUUCUAGGUGUAGCGGUGAAAUGCGUAGAUAUCUGGAGGAAUACCUGUGGCGAAAGCGGCCUCCUAAACGAAUACUGACACUGAGGUGCGAAAGCGUGGGGAGGCAAACAGGAUUAGAUACC
rnacentral:rRNA from 1 species